CAGCUUCUUCUUGCCUGCGGACGGCCGUGGCCAGAGGAGAAGAAGGACGAUGAGAGAUGCGCGGAGGAACAUCGGAUGCCCGCGGGCUGAGCGAGCAACCCGCAAAGGACUUCUGCACAUCACCAGCAUGGUUCAAGGCCUCUGUAGCGGAUCCCCCCAUCCCUGGGAGGCCGGAUGAUGGCACAGCCUGG